AGUGAACGCUGGCGGUAGGCCUAACACAUGCAAGUCGAACGGCAGCACAGUAAGAGCUUGCUCUUACGGGUGGCGAGUGGCGGACGGGUGAGGAAUACAUCGGAAUCUACUUUUUCGUGGGGGAUAACGUAGGGAAACUUACGCUAAUACCGCAUACGACCUACGGGUGAAAGCAGGGGAUCUUCGGACCUUGCGCGAUUGAAUGCGCCGAUGUCGGAUUAGCUAGUUGGCGGGGUAAAGGCCCACCAAGGCGACGAUCCGUAGCUGGUCUGAGAGGAUGAUCAGCCACACUGGAACUGAGACACGGUCCAGACUCCUACGGGAGGCAGCAGUGGGGAAUAUUGGACAAUGGGCGCAAGCCUGAUCCAGCCAUACCGCGUGGGUGAAGAAGGCCUUCGGGUUGUAAAGCCCUUUUGUUGGGAAAGAAAAGCAGCAGGUUAAUACCCCGCUGUUCCGACGGUACCCAAAGAAUAAGCACCGGCUAACUUCGUG
rnacentral:rRNA from 1 species